GGAUGGGAUGCUACAUUGUUAAUGGUCGGG
rnacentral:tRNA from 3 species